CUACGUGCCAGCAGCCGCGGUAAUACGUAGGUGGCGAGCGUUAUCCGGAAUUAUUGGGCGUAAAGGGUGCGUAGGCGGCCUGUUAAGUAAGUGGUUAAAUUGUUGGGCUCAACCCAAUCCAGCCACUUAAACUGGCAGGCUAGAGUAUUGGAGAGGCAAGUGGAAUUCCAUGUGUAGCGGUAAAAUGCGUAGAUAUAUGGAGGAACACCAGUGGCGAAGGCGGCUUGCUAGCCAAAGACUGACGCUCAUGCACGAAAGCGUGGGGAGCAAAUAGGAUUAGAUACCCUAGUAGUCCACGCCGUAAACGAUGAAUACUAAGUAUUGGGGAAACUCAGUGCUGCAGCUAACGCAAUAAGUAUUCCGCCUGUGGAGUAUGCACGCAAGUGUGAAACAUAAAGGAAUUGACGGGGGCCCGCACAAGCGGUGGAGUAUGUGGUUUAAUUCGAAGCAACGCGAAGAACCUUACCAGGCCUUGACAUA
rnacentral:rRNA from 1 species